AGUCCUGUUCAUCCCGUGACUGAAGGAGAUACUCUGACGGUGCACUGCUUAUAUCCAUAUACAAGCCCACCAAAUCUCAGAGCUGAUUUCUAUAAAGAUGGAUCACUCAUCCAGAAUCAAACUACAGAGAUGAUCAUCUCUACUGUCUCAAAGUCACAUGAGGGUUUCUACUACUGCAAACACUCAGAGAGAGGAGAGUCACCCAAGAGCUGGAUCUCAGUCAGAAUGUCUCAUUCAGAAUCUCAGAUCUCUGUCCUGCACACACUCAGUUCUGUACUGGCAGUUUGUCCAUAUCUGCUAGUGACAGUCGUGCUGAUUUUCAAAUGCUGCAGGAUGAGAGUUCCAUCUGUUGAAGAGGAAUAAACUUCUAUUUGACAUUCUGUUGUGAUGGUGAGAAAUGUCAGCUUCAUCCGGAAUCUUUCUUCAUUUCUGAUUAUCUAUUCUCAAGUUGUCCACUGCCAGUUCUUUUGAGAGUGACAACUGCAUUUAAAUGCAAGAAUGAAUCCCAUUAGUUUUGUUCUCACUGUGCAAGCAAUACAGAAGUCAAUCCAAUUCUAACCAUUUGCUGUUUCUGUGUUUGCCUGCUUCGCAUUAUAAGCACAUGAGCACAACACCCUAAUUUGUAAGCAUGCAUGUAUAUUCCUUAUUUUAGCAUAAGAUUCCUGAUUUGUAUCA